rnacentral:tRNA from 1 species
GGAGGGGUAGCGAAGUGGCUAAACGCGGCGGUCUGUAAAACCGCUCUCUCUGAGUUCGGCGGUUCGAAUCCACCCUCCUCCA